UACGGAGGAUCCGAGCGUUAUCCGGAUUUAUUGGGUUUAAAGGGUGCGCAGGCGGGGACGUAAGUCAGUGGUGAAAAGCUGCCGCUUAACGGUAGUCUUGCCAAUGAUACUGCGUUUCUUGAGUAUGGUUAAGGUAGGCGGAAUGUGCAGUGUAGCGGUGAAAUGCAUAGAUAUUGCACAGAAUAUCGAUUGCGAAGGCAGCUCACAAAGCCAAGAUUGACGCUGAGGCACGAAAGUGUGGGGAUCAAACAGGA
rnacentral:rRNA from 1 species